rnacentral:rRNA from 1 species
AGAGUUUGAUCAUGGCUCAGAACGAACGCUGGCGGCAGGCCUAACACAUGCAAGUCGAGCGCACCCUUCGGGGCGAGCGGCGGACGGGUUAGUAACGCGUGGGAACGUACCCAGAUCUAAGGAAUAGCCAUUGGAAACGAUGAGUAAUACCUUAUACGCCCUUCGGGGGAAAGAUUUAUCGGAUUUGGAUCGGCCCGCGUUAGAUUAGAUAGUUGGUGGGGUAAUGGCCUACCAAGUCUACGAUCUAUAGCUGGUUUUAGAGGAUGAUCAGCAACACUGGGACUGAGACACGGCCCAGACUCCUACGGGAGGCAGCAGUGGGGAAUCUUAGACAAUGGGCGCAAGCCUGAUCUAGCCAUGCCGCGUGUGUGAUGAAGGCCUUAGGGUCGUAAAGCACUUUCGCCAGGGAUGAUAAUGACAGUACCUGGUAAAGAAACCCCGGCUAACUCCGUGCCAGCAGCCGCGGUAAUACGGAGGGGGUUAGCGUUGUUCGGAAUUACUGGGCGUAAAGCGCACGUAGGCGGACUGGAAAGUUGGGGGUGAAAUCCCAGGGCUCAACCCUGGAACUGCCUCCAAAACUAUCAGUCUAGAGUUCGAGAGAGGUGAGUGGAAUUCCGAGUGUAGAGGUGAAAUUCGUAGAUAUUCGGAGGAACACCAGUGGCGAAGGCGGCUCACUGGCUCGAUACUGACGCUGAGGUGCGAAAGUGUGGGGAGCAAACAGGAUUAGAUACCCUGGUAGU